UUCUUCCCCCUGCUUUCGUCGCUGUUUCUACAUGCAACAGCUAUAAACGAGCCGACCUGCCCCCCGGCAGCGUCCUCGCUUUCCCCGUUUGCUCGCCCUCCGCACCUGAUCUCAGUUUCAGCCCUACACUCUCCAAGGUAGCCAACGCCAUGCGGUGCGGCAGUGGACGCGUGGGCAGCGGCGGCGGCGGCGGCAACCGCAAGAAGCCAUCUCCGCCGCCGGUUGGUGUCCACCCACGCUACGUCCCCAAGAGAGGGGCGGUGCUGAAGGAGAUCAUUCGCGGCAUGCUCCGCUACUUCUUCCUCAUCCCCCCGGUGAUGGUUGGGCCGGUGAACUCCGGCGGCAGCCGCGUGCGGCCGGCACCGCCCGGGGCAGGCGGCGAUGGCGCGCAGCGUUGUUGGGAUUCGUCUGACUUUACGGUUACGAUCGGCUCGCGACGGUCCACUCAUUUACCUGGGCCGUCCGAUGUCCGUCAAUAACGCCAGUCGAAGUGGUUGAGAGAGGAGCACCGCUGCACGCGAUGGCCUUCAGGAGGAUGGCAUGAGAAAUGAUCAGAAUUCUGAACAUCUCUCAGCGUUGCGACUUACUGAACUUUUAAAGCUAAUGCAAGCCUACCAAUUGUUGCAGUCAUGGUGGUACAAGUUGGCACAAUUUCCGUGUGCAUGUUCAUUUCUGACACAGGCUGCAUGCCUAUUGAAAAAGAUCGCCGUACAGGCACAAAUAACUAGUACAUUAACAUGGUGGUGUAACGAAGACAAUCCAGCAAAAGAAAAGUAUCUGCACUAGACUGAGUCUGCGUAUUACUAGCCAACUGCAAUUAUCCUCGCGAUCUCAGCCAUACUGAAUGUUAUCAUAACAAAUGUUUCUCUGUA